rnacentral:rRNA from 1 species
UACAGAGGUCCCAAGCGUUGUUCGGAUUCAUUGGGCGUAAAGGGUGCGUAGGCGGCGCGGUAAGUCGAGUGUGAAAUCUCGGAGCUUAACUUCGAAACUGCAUUCGAUACUGCCGUGCUUGAGGACUGGAGAGGAGACUGGAAUUCCUGGUGUAGCGGUGAAAUGCGCAGAUAUCAGGAGGAACACCAAUGGCGAAGGCAGCUCGCUGGGACGGUACUGACGCUGAGACGCGAAAGCGUGGGGAGCAAACAGG